rnacentral:misc_RNA from 1 species
UCAGCAUCACGCACGGUACGCGCAAGACCCCGCAUAUCGCGAUGAUGGCCGGGUCGGGCCUGGGGCUGCUGGUGAUCCUGGUGCUGUGGUACACGCUCGGUGCGGAAGGCGGCGGGGCAGCCAUCGGCUUCACGCUGCUCAACAUGGCCGUGUUCGGGGCGAUGCUCUCCUAUAUCGCCCAGGCGGUCAGCUUCAUUUUGUUGCGCCGCAACCAGCCCAACAUAGAGCGGCCGUUCCGCAACCCGUUCGGCAUUCCGGGAGCCGUGCUCACCGUGGUCAUCGCGCUGGUCACGCUCUACUUCCAGGUUACCGAUCCCGUCUACCAG